CCUACGGAGGGCAGCAGUGGGGAAUAUUGGACAAUGGGGGGAACCCUGAUCCAGCCAUGCCGCGUGUGUGAAGAAGGCCCUCGGGUUGUAAAGCACUUUCAGUGAGGAAGAACGCCUGGUGGUUAAUACCCAUCAGGAAAGACAUCACUCACAGAAGAAGCACCGGCUAACUCCGUGCCAGCAGCCGCGGUAAUACGGAGGGUGCGAGCGUUAAUCGGAAUUACUGGGCGUAAAGCGCGCGUAGGUGGCUUGAUAAGCCGGUUGUGAAAGCCCCGGGCUCAACCUGGGAACGGCAUCCGGAACUGUCACGCUAGAGUGCAGGAGAGGAAGGUAGAAUUCCCGGUGUAGCGGUGAAAUGCGUAGAGAUCGGGAGGAAUACCAGUGGCGAAGGCGGCCUUCUGGACUGACACUGACACUGAGGUGCGAAAGCGUGGGUAGCAAACAGGAUUAGAUACCCGGGUAGUC
rnacentral:rRNA from 1 species